AUGCACCUGCAGGGGGCGCAGCAUGACCACGAACAGGGUUUUGCAGGUAACCGGUUCAUGUAUCGCCCGGUAUAGCAAAAUUGCUAUUUUAAAGCACUUCU
rnacentral:ncRNA from 1 species